GACAGAGGUGCCGAGCGUUAGGCGGAAUCACUGGGCUUAAAGCGUGUGUAGGCGGAUUUUUAAGUACCUUGUGAAAUCCCACGGCUUAACCGUGGAACGGCUGGGUAGACUGGAAAUCUUGAGCCACUUAGGGGCGAGCGGAACAAAUGGUGGAGCGGUGAAAUGCGUAGAUAUCAUUUGGAACGCCAAUGGUGAAAACAGCUCGCUGGGAGUGUGCUGACGCUGAGACACGAAAGCCAGGGUAGCGAACGGG
rnacentral:rRNA from 1 species